CAAGAUUAGCAAAAACUACAAAUAAACCAUUAUUAUAUUUCAAAUUGUUUCAUUAUCAUUCCGAACUAUGUGAGGUCUGUUUAGGCCUCGGAGGUGUCUCACUAUCACUAAUGAGUCUGGCAUCAAGCUCUUGAUCAUGCUGCCUAUAAUAAAAUACAAAAUGAAACAAAUAAACAAUUUGGAAUGAAUAUAAGGUUAAACCUAUAAACAACAAAGAUGUAAACUGAAUUUGAUAUUGAAUACCAAAAUACAACAUACGACAUCAAUUCAGUAUACAUAAUAUAACAAACAACUCAAUUUAUGUAAUAAGUUCAAAAGUGUAACUGCCCACUCAAAUUCAGAAUACAAUAAAAAAAAAAAACCACUUAGAUUCUCUAAACAAUACAAAAAAUAGCAUACCAAACAUAUUCAAAAUACAAAAUACAACAUACCACACAAAUUCAGAAUACAAAAUACAUCAGACCACUCAGUUUCUUUAAUGAAUACAAAAGUGUAACUACCCAAUCAGAUUCAGAAUACAAUAAACAACAACCACUCAGAUUAUGUAAUGAAUACCAAAUACAACAUAACAAACGAAUUCAGAAUACAAAAAAACUUCAGACCACUCAAAAAACUACAACGAAUACAAAAAUUAAGAAACCUCUCAGAAGAUUCAGAAUACAAAAAGAUGCAAAUACCAACUCUUCGUCCGUCUCUCUUCCACCAUUAUAGCAGCGGAUCCUACAUUAUCCGCUAUUUCUUGAGUAAUACAUAGAUUAAAAGAUGAAAAAUCUCUAGAAAAUUGUUGAUUAAGUUGUAUACCUCUUGUAAUCCUCUUAGAUUCGGCCAUUAGAGAAUGAUUUUGUGAUUUCAAACCCUAAACGAAAAUUGGUCAAUUUAAUACUCAACUACAAACAAAUUUUUUGAAAAAUUUAAACAAAAAAAAAAUAGUAAACAAACCUAAAAAUCGGAUAAAGAUGCAUACCUUUAUCAAAGGGAUUGUUGUGAAUAUCUUUAGAGAUAUAUUUUUCAAUUUUGAAGAAAAAA
rnacentral:lncRNA from 1 species